AGGACGAACGCUGGCGGCGUGCUUCACACAUGCAAGUCGAGCGAGACUUCGGUCUAGCGGCGAACGGGUGAGUAACACGUGGGCAACCUGCCCUCAGCUCUGGGAUAACCCCGGGAAACCGGGGCUAAUACUGGAUACGACCACCGAAGACCUCUUCUGGUGGUGGAAAGAUUUAUCGGCUGAGGAUGGGCCCGCGGCCUAUCAGCUAGUUGGUGGGGUAAUGGCCUACCAAGGCGACGACGGGUAGCCGGCCUGAGAGGGCGAUCGGCCACACUGGGACUGAGACACGGCCCAGACUCCUACGGGAGGCAGCAGUGGGGAAUCUUGCGCAAUGGGCGAAAGCCUGACGCAGCGACGCCGCGUGAGGGAUGACGGCCUUCGGGUUGUAAACCUCUUUCAGCAGGGACGAAGCGCAAGUGACGGUACCUGCAGAAGAAGCACCGGCUAACUACGUGCCAGCAGCCGC
rnacentral:rRNA from 1 species